UAACGCGUGGGAAUCUGCCCUUAGGUACGGAAUAACUCAGGGAAACUUGAGCUAAUACCGGAUAAUGACGUAAGUCCAAAGAUUUAUCGCCGAGGGAUGAGCCCGCGUAGGAUUAGCUAGUUGGUGUGGUAAAGGCGCACCAAGGCGACGAUCCGUAGCUGGUUUGAGAGGAUGAUCAGCCACACUGGGACUGAGACACGGCCCAGACUCCUACGGGAGGCAGCAGUGGGGAAUAUUGGACAAUGGGCGAAAGCCUGAUCCAGCAAUGCCGCGUGAGUGAUGAAGGCCUUAGGGUUGU
rnacentral:rRNA from 1 species